rnacentral:rRNA from 1 species
AGCAUGUGGUUUAAUUCGAAGCAACGCGAAGAACCUUACCAGGGCUUGACAUGCCUCUGACUUUACUAGAGAUAGUAAUUUAUCCUUCGGGAUACAGAGGACACAGGUGGUGCAUGGUUGUCGUCAGCUCGUGUCGUGAGAUGUUGGGUUAAGUCCCGCAACGAGCGCAACCCUUGUAUUUAGUUGCCAGCAUUAAGUUGGGCACUCUAGAUAGACUGCCGUGGACAACACGGAGGAAGGUGGGGAUGACGUCAAAUCAUCAUGCCCUUUAUGUCCUGGGCUACACACGUGCUACAAUGGUCGGUACAACGAGCAGCAAGCUAGUGAUAGCAAGCGAAUCUCUAAAAGCCGAUCCCAGUUCGGAUUGUAGGCUGCAACUCGCCUACAUGAAGUCGGAGUUGCUAGUAAUCGCGAAUCAGCAUGUCGCGGUGAAUGCGUUCCCGGGUCUU